rnacentral:rRNA from 1 species
UACGGAGGGUGCAAGCGUUGUUCGGAUUUACUGGGCGUAAAGCGCGCGCAGGUGGGUGAACAAGUCGGAAGUGAAAUCUUGAGGCUCAACCUCGAGGCUGCUCCCGAAACUGUUCGCCUAGGGACUGGUAGAGGCUGGUAGAAUUCCCGGUGUAGCGGUGGAAUGCGUAGAGAUCGGGAAGAAUACCCGUGGCGAAGGCGGCCAGCUGGGCCAGAUCCGACACUGAGGCGCGAAAGCGUGGGGAGCAAACAGG